UUCGGCCCAGCCGUUGUCCGGAUUAUUGGGCGUAAAGAGCUCGUAGGCGGUUUGUCGCGUCUGGUGUGAAAACUCAAGGCUCAACCUUGAGCUUGCAUCGGGUACGGGCAGACUAGAGUGUGGUAGGGGUGACUGGAAUUCCUGGUGUAGCGGUGGAAUGCGCAGAUAUCAGGAGGAACACCGAUGGCGAAGGCAGGUCACUGGGCCACUACUGACGCUGAGGAGCGAAAGCAUGGGGAGCGAACAGGAUUAGAUACCCUGGUAGUCCAUGCCGUAAACGUUGGGCACUAGGUGUGGGGCUCAUUCCACGAGUUCCGCGCCGCAGCUAACGCAUUAAGUGCCCCGCCUGGGGAGUACGGCCGCAAGGCUA
rnacentral:rRNA from 1 species